rnacentral:rRNA from 1 species
GACGAACGCUGGCGGCGCGCCUAACACAUGCAAGUCGAACGAGAGAUGAAGAGCUUGCUCUUCAGAUCGAGUGGCGAACGGGUGAGUAACGCGUGAGGAACCUGCCUCAAAGAGGGGGACAACAGUUGGAAACGGCUGCUAAUACCGCAUAAGCGCACAGUACCGCAUGGUACGGUGUGAAAAACUCCGGUGGUGUGAGAUGGACCCGCGUCUGAUUAGCUAGUUGGCAGGGCAACGGCCUACCAAGGCGACGAUCAGUAGCCGACCUGAGAGGGUGAUCGGCCACAUUGGGACUGAGACACGGCCCAAAACUCCUACGGGAGGCAGCAGUGGGGAAUAUUGGGCAAUGGAGG